GAUGAACGCUGGCGGCGUGCCUAACACAUGCAAGUCGAACGGACGGACGCGAAGCUUGCGGCGUUGAUGUUUGCGGCGGGCGGGUGUAUAACGCGUGGAUCACCUACCUGUCAUUCGGAUAUAAUUACGGAAAACCGGCUAUAAUACCAUAUGAUAUUUUGAACCGCGGGGUUCAAAGGAAAAAGACGGCCUUGGGGGCUGUACUAGCUGCAUACCGGCUGCAUUAGCUAGUUGGUACGGUAACGGCUUACCAAGGCUACGAUGCGUAGCCGACCUGAGAGGGGGAUCGGCCACACGGGAACGGAGACACGGUCCAGACGCCUACGGGAGGGAGCAGUCGGGAAUCUGCGGCAAUGGGCGAAAGCCUGACGGAGCAACGCCGCGUGUGUGAUGACGGUCUUCGGAUCGGAAAACCCUGUUAUUGGGUAAGAACAGAUGUGGACUUAAACGUGGCCAUCGUGACGGUACCUAAUCAGAAAGCAACGGCUAACUACGUG
rnacentral:rRNA from 1 species